CUUCCAUCUCUUCAUUCACUCCCCUACACUACCUCUCCUUCUGCCUUCCUCUCUUUUCUACCACUCACACUCCCCUUACCCCUCAUCCAUCUCUCUCCCUCUUUUUUUCUGUUUAUCUCUCCAUCUGUCUCUCUCGUGUUUAUUCUGUCGUUUGUGCACCUUGCCAGUCGGACGUGAGAUGGGUUGUGGAAAUUCCGCUGCAACUAGCACAACUGGAGGAGAUCAGUCUGAACCAUCCAAAGAAGAAGAGACGGAGGAACCUUCACCAGAGGACGAGAGGAGGGUUAACUAUGGUGGUGUGUAUGUGGGGAUCCCAGCUGACCUGAGUGGUGUACCUGCUGUGCUGUUCCCCUCGUCACACACAGACACUAAGUGAAUCUACAACAAACGGUUGUGCUGCUACCUGCUCAGGGGAGCAGUAGAAUCCUGGGGGAGCCAAUCACCUGUCAGCUCCUGAGGUCAUGAGGCCAGGACUGAUCUGGGAUCAGGUUGGAAGUCUGCCAUGGGAAGUAGAUCCCCUGGACAGGAAGUAGACCUGAACAAGAAGUAGACCUGAACAAGAAGUAGACCUGAACAGACUGACUGUAAACUCCAGCUGUCACUCUUUGUUCAUCACUUCUGAACUGAGCUGAAUGGUUAGACUGUCACAGUCUCCCCACACCAGCUCCCCAAACCACCUCUGAUACCUUACCACACCAGCUCUCCAAACCACCUCUGAUACCUUACCACACCAGCUCCCCAAACCACCUCUGAUACCUUACCACACCAGCUCCCCAAACCACCUCUGCUACCUUACCGGCUGCCAGCCGCCCCCCGGCUCAGGGCCCCCAGACAGCCAAUCAGGAGAAGGAGGCUACACAGUAAGGAUGCAGUGCAGUCAGUAAAGAUAUGCUGUAGUGAGAACUUGGCGCUAGAAGCCAGAAGCCUUUUCUCUGUCCAACUGUCACAAUAAAGCCCUUCUGUACUGUA